rnacentral:misc_RNA from 1 species
GAUGAAGAACGCAGCGAAAUGCGAUAAGUAGUGUGAAUUGCAGAAUUCAGUGAAUCAUCGAAUCUUUGAACGCACAUUGCGCCCCUUGGUAUUCCAUGGGGCAUGCCUGUUCGAGCGUCAUUUGUACCUUCAAGCUCUGCUUGGUGUUGGGUGUUUGUCUCGCCUCUGCGUGUAGGCUCGCCUCAAAACAAUUGGCAGCCGGCGUAUUGAUUUCGGAGCGCAGUACAUCUCGCGCUUUGCACUCAUAACGACGACGUCCAAAAGUACAUUUUUACACUCUUGACCUCGGAUCAGGUAGGGAUACCCGCUGAACUUAAGCAUAUCAAUAAGCGGAGGA